CCAACCAACAAGAGGCACAACACUGCUAAAAUUUUCAGACACCAAUCGUUGCCUCCGAGGAGCCUUGGUAUGCUCAUCUUCUUGUUUUUUGGCUAUACAUAUUAUUUUCGUUACUAUAAAUUCUAAUAGUGUUUGUUUUUUUAAACGAUUGUAUGUUUUGGAUGAAUGAAAGCAACCACGAUGCAUGAAGAAGAUUCAGGUGAUGUUUCAAUUGAUCUUUUAUCUUUCAUUUAUCGAUUUUCUAAUUUUACAAAAAUGUUCUCACCGAGUAGAAUAUACUUUUGAGUUUUGAGUUAAAUCUUUCACAGUCUGUUGUGGAUUAGCAACGUUUCAAGCCAUAUUAACUAUUGUGUUGUGGCAGUUCGAAAGAUUCAUAUAAAUUGGACUAUUGCUACAAAAAAACAGAAUCACAGGUUUAAUUCUAUCAAAGGAGAUAAAGCCUCUUAUCUCUACUGUCUUUGAGGGUAAAGAUGCUAAUGUCAUCGCCCACGGAGCAAGAAAUUGCGGAAAAACAUAUCUCAUACAUGUAUUGAAAGCAAUCCCAUUAAGGGAAAUGAUUAUGCUCUGCCGCUCAAAGGAAACAGACACCUUUGACUGUGUCUGCUACUUCUAGAAAACAGACAGUGCUAAGGGGAAAUGUGACAGAGAGAAAAGACUAAAAUCAAAGCAAGGAAACUGUUCCGCGAAGCAAACGAUUCAGUGAAAUGUAAAAAUAGCAUGUUGGAAAAUUUAAUUAAUACGUCAUGAAGUGGAAUAAUCUAGAUUCUUCCUUUAAAAAGAGGUAAAACAGAGGGUAUAGAAACAGAGACUAAGAGACCAAGAGUCUUAAUUAAGGAGGUUUGGUAUACCACUUAACCCUAAUCAAUCCACUACUUACUUGAUAAAGACAUAUUCUCAUCAUGUAUAUUUGAUUAGAUUAGAUAGGCUCGUAAUAUGGGACAAAACCCCGAAGAUGAGCAAGAAAUGCUUUGAAAGAUUUUAUCGUAGCAUGAGUGUCAUAUCUGCACCCUUCAGUGCUCCCUUGUAAAAUCAGAGUAUCUGAGUAUAGAUACUUAAUAGAUUUAAGUGUUCUUCGAUCUUGGACGAUAUGUUCCAACUUAUACUGAUACAGAGGGUCACGACAUACAUACUAUAAUUGAUAGAGAGUAUUAUCGUCAUCGUGGAUUCAGGUUUUUCCAAGGGCGAUAGAUACAUGGCCGGCCCUAUAGACAUCAACAAGAAACUUUUGCUGUAGCCCAAAUUUUGUUUCUGAAAUUCUUCAACAAAAAUUAUUUAUGAAACGGACCUAAUUUUAUUUA